rnacentral:misc_RNA from 1 species
UUAACAUAAUAAUUAUCUUUGAGCCCAUGAUCUUUCACAUUAUUAAUACUGGUAAAUCAUAAGCAAGUACAAGUGCAAAUUCUUCGGUAGGGUAUAAUUUUACUCGAAUAUACAGAAUAUACUCUUCUUAGCAAGAGUUUUUGUUCAGGUUAACAGGCUUCAGAGAAUUCAUCAGCCCUCCUUGUCAGCUUCAGCACAGAAAUGUAUCAUAAAGAAAAAUAAGCUAAGGCAUAAUUCUCAUAAUACCGCAAUUGCUUGUAGUGGUACUAAAGACUUCGCUGGUAACGCGGAUUAGGAAAAGACACCCCAUCACUAUCUCUGAAUAAUGGUUUAUGUACGUUAAAAUCUGUACUUCCAUGGUUUGUUUGACCCCUAGGUGCAACUUGGUGCAUAGAUGAAUCACCUGGAUUGUUGCAAAGCCCAAGUUUCACAAUGAAUGUAGCAUUGGUACCUUUGUCAAGCCCCUCGCUCUCAAUCCAUAUAUGGCCUCCCAUUAGAUCUACAAACCUUUUACAGAUGGCAAGUCCAAGUCCUGCACCACCAUUAUUUCGGUUAGAUCCACUUCGGGGCUGAGUGAAUUUAGUAAAAAGGAGUGGGAUAUCUUGAGGGAGAACACCACAGCCAGAGUCCUUAACCUACAACAAACAACAUGAUGGGGUGGAUGAAUAACAACCAGACCAAAUUACAAAGAACUGCUAACAAAGCAAUGCAUUUUUCAAAAACUUAAUAUAUAGAUGCAGACAUUAAGACAAGUUAACCAUGAUGAGAUUAUAAGAACAUAAAUAAAACUAGAGCCCGAACAACUGCCACAAAACAAAUAGCAACAACAACAUACUAAGGGAUGCCGUAAAGUAAAUUCCAAUAUUACAAGAAAAGAGAACUGAACUCGACAAUAUGAGCAAAAUUCAAAUGCAUUGGUCAACAACCUGUAUUCGUAGGUAGAAGUGCCCAUCACUUGAAAUCGGGUAAAAUUCAGGAGGUCGCCAAUCUCUUAAAGAAUCUGGUUUUGCAACAGAAACUAUAAUUGAAACAUAGCCCUCCUUUGUGAACUUGACAGCAUUACCUACUACAUUUAAAAUA